rnacentral:lncRNA from 1 species
CAGGAAGUGCAUUUAGCUGGGAGACAAUGGAAACUUGGUGGACAGUGAAAUGAAAUAUUUGGGCAGUCCCAUUACUACUGUUCCAAAAUUGGAUAAAAAUCCAAACCUAGGAGAAGACCAGGCAGAAGAGAUUUCAGAUGAAUUAAUGGAGUUUUCCCUGAAAGAUCAAGAAGCAAAGUGAGCAGAAGUGGCCUAUAUCGCUCCCCGUCGA